rnacentral:rRNA from 1 species
GAUGAACGCUGGCGGCGUGCCUAAUACAUGCAAGUAGAACGCUGAGGGAGGAGCUUGCUCUUCUGGAUGAGUUGCGAACGGGUGAGUAACGCGUAGGUAACCUGCCUGGUAGCGGGGGAUAACUAUUUGAAACGAUAGCUAAUACCGCAUGACAACAGUUAUUGCAUGAUAACUGUUUAAAAGGGGCAACUGCUCCACUACCAGAUGGACCUGCGUUGUAUUAGCUAGUUGGUGAGGUAACGGCUCACCAAGGCGACGAUACAUAGCCGACCUGAGAGGGUGGUCGGCCACACUGGGACUGAGACACGGCCCAGACUCCUACGGGAGGCAGCAGUAGGGAAUCUGCGGCAAUGGACGGAAGUCUGACCGAGCAACGCCGCGUGAGUGAAGAAGGUUUUCGGAUCGUAAAGCUCUGUUGUAAGAGAAGAACGAGUGUGAGAGUGGAAAGUUCACACUGUGACGGUAUCUUACCAGAAAGGGACGGCUAACUACGUG